GGGAGCAUAGCUCAGUUGGUUUAGAGCAUCUGCCUUACAAGCAGAGGGUCGGGGGUUCGACUCCCUCUACUCCCA
rnacentral:tRNA from 1 species